CCUUGCACCUUAAGAGGGUAAAUGCACUCUUGCACCUUAAGAGGGUAAAUGUACCCUUGUGAAAUGCACUCUUGCACCUUAAGAGGGUAAAUGCACCCUUGUACACGCACUCUUGCAUGUACCCUUGUACACGCACUCUUGCACCUUAAGACAGUAAAUAGAGUAAAUGAACCUUUGUAAAAUGAAUGUAUUCUGUUAAGAUACCUUAAAUCUUAAGAGAGUAAAAGCACCAGAAAUUUAGCCCCCUUUUCUCUGCUUUCCAAUGGUCCUCUGGCUGUCCAAUGGUCCCUUCUGCUGUCGCUCCCAGCGGGGGCAGACAGGAGAGGUACCUAGAGCCACGGGGCGAUAGGAAGGGUGGUCCAGGCCUCGAGAUGGACAAGAGGGGCAGUUAGAGCAUUGAGACCAACAGGAGGGGCCAACGGAGCAGCGGGGACCGACAGGAAGGACAAAUGGAGCCACAGACCAGACAGGAGGGGAUAAUGGAUUCAUGAGGCAACAGCUUGGGCCAGGACAACCAGGAUAGGUGGAUACUAUAUGUUGCUGAUAAAUGCCAGUGCAGCUCCCAGACAAGAUAUGUACAAGUCAUUCAGUUAUACCCGGAGGACCUGAUCCUUGUGGUAUACAUUAAAUAGCAUAUAUAACACUAUAUAGAUGGUAUUCAGAGGGAGCACAUGUGUUGUCAAGUGGGGUAGUGACUCACUGCUGUUGAUUAUGAUGUACAUAUCUAGCAAAGAAACCCUGGUAGUGUAAGAAGUAUUUACCGUGGUUAUCAGUACUUGGUAGGCAUGGAUACAAUAAGUACAUAAGAUAUCAGUAGACUUAAGAUAUCAGCAGAUGUAAAAAAAGAGAGGGGAAAAGAAAGGGACAUGUAGGUCCUUGUGACAGAUGAAAAGGUACGUGAGUGCUACCUGAAAUGUCUGUUUCCAAAAUCUGUACUUGUAACAAUUUAUUGUGUAUGUAUUACUGUUGACAUAUCAAGACUGAAAUCAGCUGUGUAUUGACAAAUUAUCAAGAUCCUGUUAGCUUAUCAGAACUUUGUUUUGUUAUAGUUUCUUUUCAAAAAUUCACUUAAGUUUCUCAUGCAAACUGGGUCUUCAAGAAUGUCUUGUUAGCAAAUGCAUUUUUUGUGAUAAUGUGAGAUGCCAAGUAAUUGUACAAGAUUAAAUGUAGAAGUGGAGACAUUUUGUAAAAGAAGAGAUUGUGUCAUACUGGUAUAGCACAAAAAACAAUGCUUUUACGUGACAUGUAGUUUUUAUGCAUUACAUGGUGUUACACUUUUAUAAUGUACAUUGGACAUGCUGCCAAAGUGGAUGUACAUCUCAGAGACAUGAAAGAAGAAAGAGAGGAAAAUUGUAGUAGUGUAGCAAUGCAGUUUGUUUUUGCAUCAUGUUUUUGUUGUUUCAAGUAAAGAAACAUAAUUCUAUUUUGCACAACUAAAUAUCACUGUGUAUUAUUGUAUUCUGCCUUUUAUUGCCAAGGUAUUAAAAGCUAACAGUAUAACCAA